GCUCAGGAUGAACGCCGGCGGUGUGCCUAAUACAUGCAAGUCGUACGCACUGGCCCAACUGAUUGAUGGUGCUUGCACCUGAUUGACGAUGGAUCACCAGUGAGUGGCGGACGGGUGAGUAACACGUAGGUAACCUGCCCCGGAGCGGGGGAUAACAUUUGGAAACAGAUGCUAAUACCGCAUAACAACAAAAGCCACAUGGCUUUUGUUUGAAAGAUGGCUUUGGCUAUCACUCUGGGAUGGACCUGCGGUGCAUUAGCUAGUUGGUAAGGUAACGGCUUACCAAGGCGAUGAUGCAUAGCCGAGUUGAGAGACUGAUCGGCCACAAUGGAACUGAGACACGGUCCAUACUCCUACGGGAGGCAGCAGUAGGGAAUCUUCCACAAUGGGCGCAAGCCUGAUGGAGCAACACCGCGUGAGUGAAGAAGGGUUUCGGCUCGUAAAGCUCUGUUGUUGGAGAAGAACGUGCGUGAGAGUAACUGUUCACGCAGUGACGGUAUCCAACCAGAAAGUCACGGCUAACUACGUGCCAGCAGCCGCGGUAAUACGUAGGUGGCAAGCGUUAUCCGGAUUUAUUGGGCGUAAAGCGAGCGCAGGCGGUUGCUUAGGUCUGAUGUGAAAGCCUUCGGCUUAACCGAAGAAGUGCAUCGGAAACCGGGCGACUUGAGUGCAGAAGAGGACAGUGGAACUCCAUGUGUAGCGGUGGAAUGCGUAGAUAUAUGGAAGAACACCAGUGGCGAAGGCGGCUGUCUGGUCUGCAACUGACGCUGAGGCUCGAAAGCAUGGGUAGCGAACAGGAUUAGAUACCCUGGUAGUCCAUGCCGUAAACGAUGAGUGCUAGGUGUUGGAGGGUUUCCGCCCUUCAGUGCCGGAGCUAACGCAUUAAGCACUCCGCCUGGGGAGUACGACCGCAAGGUUGAAACUCAAAGGAAUUGACGGGGGCCCGCACAAGCGGUGGAGCAUGUGGUUUAAUUCGAAGCUACGCGAAGAACCUUACCAGGUCUUGACAUCUUGCGCUAACCUUAGAGAUAAGGCGUUCCCUUCGGGGACGCAAUGACAGGUGGUGCAUGGUCGUCGUCAGCUCGUGUCGUGAGAUGUUGGGUUAAGUCCCGCAACGAGCGCAACCCUUGUUACUAGUUGCCAGCAUUAAGUUGGGCACUCUAGUGAGACUGCCGGUGACAAACCGGAGGAAGGUGGGGACGACGUCAGAUCAUCAUGCCCCUUAUGACCUGGGCUACACACGUGCUACAAUGGACGGUACAACGAGUCGCAAGCUCGCGAGAGUAAGCUAAUCUCUUAAAGCCGUUCUCAGUUCGGACUGUAGGCUGCAACUCGCCUACACGAAGUCGGAAUCGCUAGUAAUCGCGGAUCAGCAUGCCGCGGUGAAUACGUUCCCGGGCCUUGUACACACCGCCCGUCACACCAUGGGAGUUUGUAACGCCCAAAGUCGGUGGCCUAACCUUUAUGGAGGGAGCCGCCUAAGGCGGGACAGAUGACUGGGGUGAAGUCGUA
rnacentral:rRNA from 2 species